AUUGAACGCUGGCGGCAGGCUUAACACAUGCAAGUCGAACGAGUGGCGGACGGAUGUGUAAUGCUUGGGAAUCUAGCUUAUGGAGGGGGAUAAAUACGGGAAACUGUAGCUAAUACCGCAUACCAUCGGAUGGGUCCAAGUGGGAUGUGGUAGUGGGUGAGGUAAAGGCUCACUAAGCCGACGAUCUCUAGCUGGUCUGAGAGGAUGACCAGCCACACUGGGACGGAGACACGGCCCAGAUGCCUACGGGAGGCAGCAUUGGGGAAUAUUGCGCAAUGGGGGAAACCUGACGCAGCCAUGCCGCGUGAGUGAAGAAGGCCUUCGGGUGGUAAAGUUCUUUCGGUAGCGAGGCGUUAACUACAGAAUAAGCACCGGCUAACUCCGUGCAAGCCGCCGCGGUAAUUC
rnacentral:rRNA from 1 species